AUACUUACCUGGCAGGGCAGGUACCAUGAUCACGGAGGUGCUUCACCCAGGGUGAGGCCCAGCCAUUGCUGCGGCUGUGCUGACCCCUCCGCUGCAUAAUUUCUGGUAGCGGGGGGGCUGUGUUUCCACUCUCCCCUG
rnacentral:snRNA from 1 species